rnacentral:lncRNA from 1 species
UUGUAGAAGUUUUAAGAUUAGAUUUUAUGCAUGUAUUUAUAGAUUAAAAAGUUUAAUCUAAUAUUCUUUCACUGAAAAAUUUUUGAAAUACAUGCAUAAAACCCCUACGCAUCCCAACAGCUCAUAGCCGCACGAAGAAAGUCUACCUCUACAGAUCGUCCACACAAAGACCAGUGCAGAUCAAGCUCCUCGGGAGUGCUAGCUCGCAAAGAUCUUCAAGACUGAUGUUUUUCUUCUUCUUUUGAUCUCUUAGAUGCUCCAAAGGGGAAGAAGAUUUAGAGGAGGAAGAGGAGAGAAGAGAGAGCUCUGGUAGAAAAUAAAAUCAGCA